rnacentral:rRNA from 1 species
GAGGAAGUCGCGGCUGAUUAGCUAGUUGGCGGGGUAAUGGCCCACCAAGGCUUAGAUCGGUAGCCGGCCUGAGAGGGCGCACGGCCACACUGGAACUGAAACACGGUCCAGACUCCUACGGGAGGCAGCAGUGGGGAAUUUUGCGCAAUGGGGGAAACCCUGACGCAGCAACGCCGCGUGAAGGAUGAAGUCCCUUGGGAUGUAAACUCCUUUCGACCAAGACGAUAAUGACGGUACUGGUGGAAGAAGCACCGGCUAACUCUGUGCCAGCAGCCGCGGUAAUACAGAGGGUGCGAGCGUUGUUCGGAAUUAUUGGGCGUAAAGGGCGCGUAGGCGGUGCGGUAAGUCACCUGUGAAAUCUCCUGGCUCAACUGGGAGCUUGCAGGCGAAACUGCCGUGCUAGAGUGUGGGAGAGGUGCGCGGAAUUCCCGGUGUAGCGGUGAAAUGCGUAGAUAUCGGGAGG